rnacentral:SRP_RNA from 1 species
GCUGGGCAUGGUGGUGCAUGCCUGUAAUCCCAACUACUCGGGAGGCUGAGGCAGGAGGAUUGCUUGAACCCAGGAGGCGGAAGUUGCACUGAGCUGAGAUCAGACCACUGCACUCCAGCCUGAGUGACAGAGCAAGACUCCGUCUCAA